rnacentral:rRNA from 1 species
UUGAUCCUGCCGGAGGUCACUGCUAUCGGGGUUCGAUUAAGCCAUGCGAGUCGAGAGGGUUCAGACCCUCGGCGGACUGCUCAGUAACACGUGGAUAACCUAACCUAGGGUGGGGCAUAACCCCGGGAAACUGGGGAUAAUACCCCAUAGGUUACGGAUGCUGGAAUGCUCUGUAACCGAAAGCUCCGGCGCCCUAGGAUGGAUCUGCGGCCGAUUAGGUUGUUGUUGGGGUAACGGCCCAACAAGCCAGUAAUCGGUACGGGUUGUGGGAGCAAGAGCCCGGAGAUGGAUUCUGAGACACGAAUCCAGGCCCUACGGGGCGCAGCAGGCGCGAAAACUUUACAAUGCGGGAAACCGUGAUAAGGGAACCCCGAGUGCCCGUAAACGCGGGCUGUUAGGGUGCUUAAAACACACUCUGAGAAAGGGCCGGGCAAGACCGGUGCCAGCCGCCGCGGUAAUACCGGCGGCUCGAGUGGUGGCCACUAUUAUUGGGCUUAAAGCGUUCGUAGCUGGGUUGUUAAGUCUCUUGGGAAAUCUGACGGCUUAACCGUUAGGCGUCUAAGAGAAACUGGCGAUCUUGGGACCGGGAGAGGUGAGAGGUACUCCGGGGGUAGGAGUGAAAUCCUGUAAUCCUCGGGGGACCACCUGUGGCGAAGGCGUCUCACCAGAACGGCUCCGACAGUGAGGGACGAAAGCUGGGGGAGCAAACCGGAUUAGAUACC